rnacentral:rRNA from 1 species
UACGUAUGGAGCAAGCGUUAUCCGGAUUUACUGGGUGUAAAGGGAGCGUAGACGGUGAGGCAAGUCUGAUGUGAAAGCCCGGGGCUCAACCCCGGAACUGCAUUGGAAACUGUCUUACUAGAGUGCAGGAGAGGUAAGCGGAAUUCCUAGUGUAGCGGUGAAAUGCGUAGAUAUUAGGAGGAACACCAGUGGCGAAGGCGGCUUACUGGACUGUAACUGACACUGAGGCACGAAAGCGUGGGGAGCAA